rnacentral:misc_RNA from 1 species
GAAAUGCGAUAAGUAUUGUGAAUUGCAGAAUUCAGUGAAUCAUCGAAUCUUUGAACGCACAUUGCGCCCGCCAGUAUUCUGGCGGGCAUGCCUGUUCGAGCGUCAUUUCAACCAUCAAGCCCCCGGCUUGUGUUGGGGACCUGCGGCUGCCCGCAGGCCCUGAAAAACAGUGGCGGGCUCGCUGUCACACCGAGCGUAGUAGCAUACAUUCUCGCUCAGGGCGUGCUGCGGGUUCCGGCCGUUAAACGACCUUCAUAACCCAAGGUUGACCUCGGAUCAGGUAGGAAGACCCGCUGAACUUAAGC